rnacentral:tRNA from 1 species
UCCUCGUAGUAUAACAAUUACCCUGGUCUUGUAAACCAAAAAUGAAGUGUAAUUCUUCCUAGGACA